AUAGGUUACCACAAUAAGCUGUGUUUCAUGUUCGUCUUUGGAUGAUACCAAAUAAGUUUUAAUACGACGUUUAGGUGAGGGUUCAUUCAUCAUAGUACCUUGCUUCCAAACUGUGACAUAUGGUGUGGUUCACAUAUUCAAUUCUAGUAAUCUGCGGAAGUGUUAAAAUUAUUUUUAUAUUAUGGGGCGGGACGUAACCCAUUGGACUAUUUCUCGUUCCAACCAGUGCACCACGACUGGUAUAU